rnacentral:rRNA from 1 species
UACAGAGGGUGCAAGCGUUAAUCGGAAUUACUGGGCGUAAAGCGCACGCAGGCGGUUGGUUAAGUCAGAUGUGAAAGCCCCGGGCUCAACCUGGGAAUUGCAUUUGAAACUGGCCAACUAGAGUACGUGAGAGGGGGGUAGAAUUCCAAGUGUAGCGGUGAAAUGCGUAGAGAUUUGGAGGAAUACCAGUGGCGAAGGCGGCCCCCUGGCCCGAUAUUGACGCUGAGGUGCGAAAGCGUGGGGAGCAAACAGG